UCCGUGAGAUGGAAUCUGAAGGAAAGCUGGAGGCAAAAUUCCAACCCGAGGAACACGAACAUCAUCAGACUCUCACAGAGUAAGGCUGAUGAACAAGUCAAAGCAAGCUAUCGGGAGGUGGAAACGUGAAUGGUACGGGG
rnacentral:ncRNA from 1 species